rnacentral:lncRNA from 1 species
GACAUAUAUUUAUACUUAAACUAUUGAUUCAUCAAUAAAAUAGACUUUUUCUAUCCAUUCUUGUCUAGUGUGUCCAAGAAUCAUCCUAAAAGUUCAUAAUUUAAAGAUAUAUAUUCUCAAAAAUUGAGACUUAGAGAUAUGUAUGAUUAAUUUUUAAAUUACUUUCGAUUGAUGGAUCAUCAUGAAGAUGGUGACUGAUCCAGU